rnacentral:tRNA from 2 species
GCCCCAUUAGUGUAAGGGAUAUCACAUCAGUCUUCUAAACCGAUAAUCAAGGUUCGAGUCCUUGAUGGGGCA